CCCCUAGUAACUGCGAGUGAAGCGGGAAAAGCUCAAAUUUAAAAUCUGGCGGUUCUGCCGUCCGAGUUGUAAUCUGGAGAAGCGUUUUCUGUGCUGGACCGUGUACAAGUCUCUUGGAACAGAGCGUCAUAGAGGGUGAGAAUCCCGUCCAUGACACGGACGCCCAGUGCUAUGUGAUACGUUUUCAAAGAGUCGAGUUGUUUGGGAAUGCAGCUCAAAAUGGGUGGUAAGCUCCAUCUAAAGCUAAAUAUUGGCGAGAGACCGAUAGCGAACAAGUACCGUGAGGGAAAGAUGAAAAGCACUUUGGAAAGAGAGUUAAACAGUACGUGAAAUUGUUGAAAGGGAAACGCUUGAAGUUAGUCGCGUCUUACUUGACUCAGCCUUGCCUCGGCUUGGUGUAUUUCAUGUGAGACGGGUCAACAUCGAUUUUGACCGGCAGAGAAGGGGGGCGAGAAUGUGGCAUUCUUCGGAGUGUGUUAUAGCUUACUCUCAUAUGUGUCGGUUGGGAUCGAGGCCCGCAGCGCGCCCUUGUGGCCGGAGGUUCGCCUCACGUUACGCGCUUAGGAUGUUGGCAUAAUGGCUUUAAGCGACCCGUCUUGAAACACGGACCAAGGAGUCUAACAUGCUCGCGAGUGUUAGGGUGGAAAACCCUUGCGCAGAAUGAAAGUAAAAGUUGGGAACCUCCGCAAGGGGGCGCACCGACGCCCGGCCCAGAAGUUUACGGACGGUGCUGCGGUAGAGCGCGUAUGUUGGGACCCGAAAGAUGGUGAACUAUGCCUGAAUAGGGCGAAGCCAGGGGAAACCCUGUGUGGAGGCUCGUAGCGAUUCUGACGUGCAAAUCGAUCGUCAAAUUUGGG
rnacentral:rRNA from 1 species